rnacentral:rRNA from 1 species
GAUGAACGCUGGCGGCGUGCCUAAUACAUGCAAGUCGAGCGAACAGACGAGGAGCUUGCUCCUCUGACGUUAGCGGCGGACGGGUGAGUAACACGUGGAUAACCUACCUAUAAGACUGGGAUAACUUCGGGAAACCGGAGCUAAUACCGGAUAAUAUAUUGAACCGCAUGGUUCAAUAGUGAAAGACGGUUUUGCUGUCACUUAUAGAUGGAUCCGCGCCGCAUUAGCUAGUUGGUAAGGUAACGGCUUACCAAGGCAACGAUGCGUAGCCGACCUGAGAGGGUGAUCGGCCACACUGGAACUGAGACACGGUCCAGACUCCUACGGGAGGCAGCAGUAGGGAAUCUUCCGCAAAGGGCGAAAGCCUGACGGAGCAACGCCGCGUGAGUGAUGAAGGUCUUCGGAUCGUAACACUCUGUUAUUAGGGAAGAACAAAUGUGUAAGUAACUAUGCACGUCUUGACGGUACCUAAUCAGAAAGCCACGGCUAACUACGUG